GAUGAAGAACGCAGCGAAAUGCGAUAAGUAAUGUGAAUUGCAGAAUUCCGUGAAUCAUCGAAUCUUUGAACGCACAUUGCGCCCCCUGGCAUUCCGGGGGGCAUGCCUGUCCGAGCGUCAUUUCUGCCCUCCAGCCCGGCUGGGUGUUGGGCGCUGUCCCCCCGGGGACACGCCCCAAAGGCAGUGGCGGCGCCGCGUCGGGUCCUCGAGCGUAUGGGGCUUUGUCACCCGCUCGGGACGGACUCGUCGGCGCUGGUCUUCCUCCAGGCGACCCUUCGGGGCUCGUCUUCCUUCGGUUGACCUCGGAGCAGGUAGGGUUACCCGCUGAACUUAAGCAUAUCAUAAGCGGAGGA
rnacentral:misc_RNA from 1 species